rnacentral:rRNA from 1 species
UUGGGCCUACGGGACGCAGCAGUGAGGAAUAUUGGUCAAUGGGCGGGAGCCUGAACCAGCCAAGCCGCGUGAGGGAAGAAGGUACAGCGUAUCGUAAACCUCUUUUGUCAGGGAACAAAGGCGGGGACUAGUCCCCGGAUGAGGGUACCUGAAGAAAAAGCAUCGGCUAACUCCGUGCCAGCAGCCGCGGUAAUACGGAGGAUGCGAGCGUUAUCCGGAUUUAUUGGGCGUAAAGGGCUCGUAGGCGGUUCCUCGCGUCCGGUGUGAAAGUCCAUCGCUUAACGGUGGAUCCGCGCCGGG